GUGAAGGGUGGCUAGCAAUUGGUUCAGGUGAGACUAUUUCUCAGAGAGAGACGGACUCAGAGCAACCCAGCAGACCUACCAGCACAAAUCAGUAAAUUAGCAGCUUGUAGUUUGCAUCAUUCUUCAGGAAAGAGACAGGACUUUGUUCAGUCUUUGAGCUCCUCAUCAAGAGCAACGAGCAGGAGUAAGAUGCUACCUAAAUGGGGUUGAUUAGUCUCUGAAUGCAUUUGGUUGUGCCACACCACACAGAGCUCCAGUGCAGAUAAUUUGCCUUAGAAUGACCAUAGGAUUCCCUUUGCUUCCUGCAAUGAGAAUGUAACCUAAUUCUGAGAGAAUAAAACUGGGUUCCGAGGGGAUGGAUCAACGGUCACUGCAGAAAGUGGCGGCACUCCAGUGGCGUAGCUGCCGCAGCACUUACAGUGAAGAUGUACCCUCGGAGUCCAACGAGUAACAAAGGGGGCUGAACUUUAGCUGCCAGAAAUAAAUCCUGCAAUGACCCUGGCACAAUGGCUGUUUCUUCUGGCUGUUGAUUUCUGGCCACAGAGGUACUCAGACAUUUCUGCAGGUAAAUGCGCCAAUUCCUGGCAGCCCUCCCUGGCACCAAGCUGCAGCGAGUAGUUUGGCAGAACCUCAUUGGGCCUUGGCCCAUUUGCCCUUGGAGUUCUCCAGGCUAGAGAGCCCCUGGGCCAGAAGUGCGGGUUCCUUUGCUGGGAAGGCACUGCAGCAAAUUAACCUCAGCUAGGACCCCGCCAGCCCAUGCAAAGCAAAGCGCGCCCCAUCACCCAGCCGAAGGGCAGGCGUAGACACGGUGUGGACUGAGCCCUGUAGCGGAGGUCGGCUCACCUGCUGCUCGAGUCUGCCUCCGAGGGGUGCCAGCUCCCAGCCCCCACAGCCAAGUCCCUCGCACUGCUCCUGCCAGCGGCACUCCGGAGAGUCUCCGAAGCGGCUCUGGUAUGUUGGCGUGCGCCCCACCUUGGCGUGUUACCCAGGGCCCCACGACAAGAUGCUUUGCCCAGGUGCGCUCUCCGGAGACAGGAAUGGAGCCCUGCCCCGCAGAACGGCCCUCCUCGGGUCAGCUCUCAGCCGCUCUUCCCACCCAGCCCAGCCUUGUUCCUGGGCAGCUCCAGUCCCCUGUCCCGCCCAGCACCGGGGCUGGAGCCAUGGGGGUCCCCCGCUGGGGCUGGGCUGCUCACCUGCCCCCGCCCAAGGCUCUCCCUCAU